rnacentral:tRNA from 1 species
GGUGCGUUUGUUCUGCAGGUUGGUAUUCCUCCCUAUCAUGGCGGAGGUCAUGGGUUCGAGUCCCAUACGCACCG